rnacentral:ncRNA from 1 species
AUCUUCAGGGCAGGGUGAUCGCCUCUGGCGAAAUUCCCGACCGGCGGUAAAGUCCGCGAACCCGAAAGGGCCGAUCCGGUUCAAUUCCGGAACCGACAGUACAGUCUGGAUGAAAGAAG